CAAAAGGAAAUGUCAAGCACAACGUUAAGUAGGUGACAGACAGCCAGUCACCAUAAACUUUCUUUGCAAUUUUUUCCAUACAAUAAAAGUGAAUGGUUACUGAGGCUGUCAGUCUGCCCGACGUCUCUUCUGCUCCUUACAAGUCAUAGAAGUCCGGAACAACAUCAGGCAACUGCUCCACACUGAGAUCUGAUAUCAUCAUCCAGUCGGAGACAACAAACCGUGACAGACUAAAUCCAGAAGAACUGUGGCAACGUCUUCAAGAUGCUUCAAGAGACCUACCUUAAAGCUUUUUACUUCAGAAGACAGAAAUUGAUAGAUUGGAGUUGUGUGGACUCUCAUUCUGACGGCACCCAUUCACUGCACUUCAUAUUUCCAAAUCUGUUAUGAUAAAGACACAAACUUAUCUACAUGAUGGACUGCACGAGAGUAAGUACAUUUCCCGAACUAAACAAAAUAAUUAAAAAUAUUAAAGAAAUGAAUGUAUCC